UACGGGGGGAGCAAGCGUUGUUCGGAUUUACUGGGCGUAAAGCGCGCGUAGGCGGCUUUGCAAGUCGGGUGUGAAAUCCCCGGGCUCAACCCGGGAACUGCGUCCGAUACUGGCAGGCUUGAAUCCGGGAGAGGGAUGUGGAAUUCCAGGUGUAGCGGUGAAAUGCGUAGAUGUCUGGAGGAACACCGGUGGCGAAGGCGGCAUCCUGGACCGGUAUUGACGCUGAUGCGCGAAAGCCAGGGGAGCAAACGGG
rnacentral:rRNA from 1 species